UGAAUUUCACCUGCCAUUUUGGAAAUGGAAGAAGAAAAUUAUUUUUAAAAUACCAAUAAGUUAUAAUUGUUUGAAGCAUUAUCAGCACACAAGAAAAAUUUUAUCCAAACAGCCAUUUCAUGCUGAUUUUAAGGGACUAUUAACUCAUAUAGUUUAAAACGUAAGUUUUGUGCUAACAGGCUAAGAGCUCAUUUGCAAGAUUUAAGACCACAAGAAAUGUUUGGGAUUUUUUUUUUUAAAAAGCCAUGAAAGCAGAACUUGCAACACUGGGAACCUAAAAGUGACUUCAUCCGUUUCCCUUGUAGGAGCUGAGAGAAAUACAAAGAGUAAAACAGCAAAAUGUGAAAGAUAUACUGCAUUUUUUAAAUCCCU